GAUGAAGAACGCAGCGAAAUGCGAUAAGUAAUGUGAAUUGCAGAAUUCAGUGAAUCAUCGAAUCUUUGAACGCAUCUUGCGCUCCUUGGUAUUCUGAGGAGCAUGCCUGUUUGAGUGUCAUUAAAUUCUCAACUACACUGACUUUGAAUUGGUGUGGCUUGGAUUUGGGUGGGAAAAUUGUUGUGGGCUUUUUGUAUAGUCUGCUCCCCUGAAAUUGAUUAGCGGUACCUUUGUGGAACUGUCUACAGGUGUGAUAAUUAUCUACAUCCUAGACAUCUGCUGGAAUGCUGCUUUCUAAACCUUACUUGUAUUGACAAUCUUGACCUCAAAUCAGGUAGGACUACCCGCUGAACUUAAGCAUAUCAAUAGCGGAGGA
rnacentral:misc_RNA from 1 species